rnacentral:tRNA from 1 species
AUUUAGUUAGUUUAUUUAAAAUUUUAAUUUGUGAUAUUAAAGAUAUAGUUAUAUACUAAAUU